UACGUAGGGUGCGAGCGUUGUCCGGAAUUACUGGGCGUAAAGAGCUCGUAGGCGGUUUGUCGCGUCGGGAGUGAAAACUCAGGGCUUAACCCUGAGCCUGCUUCCGAUACGGGCAGACUAGAGGUAUGCAGGGGAGAACGGAAUUCCUGGUGUAGCGGUGAAAUGCGCAGAUAUCAGGAGGAACACCGGUGGCGAAGGCGGUUCUCUGGGCAUUACCUGACGCUGAGGAGCGAAAGUGUGGGGAGCGAACAGG
rnacentral:rRNA from 1 species